AUACAUCUAGUUCAUACCCCUAAACUCCCUAGAUGGAAGGAAAGUUUUCUUUCCUUCAUUUUUUU
rnacentral:sRNA from 1 species